AGCCUGAAUCAGUGUGUGUGUUAGUGGAAGCGUCUGGAAAGGCGCGCGAUACAGGGUGACAGCCCCGUACACAAAAAUGCACAUACUGUGAGCUCGAUGAGUAGGGCGGGACACGUGGUAUCCUGUCUGAAUAUGGGGGGACCAUCCUCCAAGGCUAAAUACUCCUGACUGACCGAUAGUGAACCAGUACCGUGAGGGAAAGGCGAAAAGAACCCCGGCGAGGGGAGUGAAAAAGAACCUGAAACCGUGUACGUACAAGCAGUGGGAGCACGCUUAGGCGUGUGACUGCGUACCUUUUGUAUAAUGGGUCAGCGACUUAUAUUCUGUAGCAAGGUUAACCGAAUAGGGGAGCCGAAGGGAAACCGAGUCUUAACUGGGCGUUAAGUUGCAGGGUAUAGACCCGAAACCCGGUGAUCUAGCCAUGGGCAGGUUGAAGGUUGGGUAACACUAACUGGAGGACCGAACCGACUAAUGUUGAAAAAUUAGCGGAUGACUUGUGGCUGGGGGUGAAAGGCCAAUCAAACCGGGAGAUAGCUGGUUCUCCCCGAAAGCUAUUUAGGUAGCGCCUCGUGAAUUCAUCUCCGGGGGUAGAGCACUGUUUCGGCAAGGGGGUCAUCCCGACUUACCAACCCGAUGCAAACUGCGAAUACCGGAGAAUGUUAUCACGGGAGACACACGGCGGGUGCUAACGUCCGUCGUGAAGAGGGAAACAACCCAGACCGCCAGCUAAGGUCCCAAAGUCAUGGUUAAGUGGGAAACGAUGUGGGAAGGCCCAGACAGCCAGGAUGUUGGCUUAGAAGCAGCCAUCAUUUAAAGAAAGCGUAAUAGCUCACUGGUCGAGUCGGCCUGCGCGGAAGAUGUAACGGGGCUAAACCAUGCACCGAAGCUGCGGCAGCGACGCUGAUGCGUUGUUGGGUAGGGGAGCGUUCUGUAAGCCUGUGAAGGUGUGCUGUGAGGCAUGCUGGAGGUAUCAGAAGUGCGAAUGCUGACAUAAGUAACGAUAAAGCGGGUGAAAAGCCCGCUCGCCGGAAGACCAAGGGUUCCUGUCCAACGUUAAUCGGGGCAGGGUGAGUCGACCCCUAAGGCGAGGCCGAAAGGCGUAGUCGAUGGGAAACAGGUUAAUAUUCCUGUACUUGGUGUUACUGCGAAGGGGGGACGGAGAAGGCUAUGUUGGCCGGGCGACGGUUGUCCCGGUUUAAGCGUGUAGGCUGGUUUUCCAGGCAAAUCCGGAAAAUCAAGGCUGAGGCGUGAUGACGAGGCACUACGGUGCUGAAGCAACAAAUGCCCUGCUUCCAGGAAAAGCCUCUAAGCAUCAGGUAACAUCAAAUCGUACCCCAAACCGACACAGGUGGUCAGGUAGAGAAUACCAAGGCGCUUGAGAGAACUCGGGUGAAGGAACUAGGCAAAAUGGUGCCGUAACUUCGGGAGAAGGCACGCUGAUAUGUAGGUGAAGCGACUUGCUCGUGGAGCUGAAAUCAGUCGAAGAUACCAGCUGGCUGCAACUGUUUAUUAAAAACACAGCACUGUGCAAACACGAAAGUGGACGUAUACGGUGUGACGCCUGCCCGGUGCCGGAAGGUUAAUUGAUGGGGUCAGCGCAAGCGAAGCUCUUGAUCGAAGCCCCGGUAAACGGCGGCCGUAACUAUAACGGUCCUAAGGUAGCGAAAUUCCUUGUCGGGUAAGUUCCGACCUGCACGAAUGGCGUAAUGAUGGCCAGGCUGUCUCCACCCGAGACUCAGUGAAAUUGAACUCGCUGUGAAGAUGCAGUGUACCCGCGGCAAGACGGAAAGACCCCGUGAACCUUUACUAUAGCUUGACACUGAACAUUGAGCCUUGAUGUGUAGGAUAGGUGGGAGGCUUUGAAGUGUGGACGCCAGUCUGCAUGGAGCCGGCCUUGAAAUACCACCCUUUAAUGUUUGAUGUUCUAACGUUGACCCGUGAUCCGGGUUGCGGACAGUGUCUGGUGGGUAGUUUGACUGGGGCGGUCUCCUCCUAAAGAGUAACGGAGGAGCACGAAGGUUGGCUAAUCCUGGUCGGACAUCAGGAGGUUAGUGCAAUGGCAUAAGCCAGCUUGACUGCGAGCGUGACGGCGCGAGCAGGUGCGAAAGCAGGUCAUAGUGAUCCGGUGGUUCUGAAUGGAAGGGCCAUCGCUCAACGGAUAAAAGGUACUCCGGGGAUAACAGGCUGAUACCGCCCAAGAGUUCAUAUCGACGGCGGUGUUUGGCACCUCGAUGUCGGCUCAUCACAUCCUGGGGCUGAAGUAGGUCCCAAGGGUAUGGCUGUUCGCCAUUUAAAGUGGUACGCGAGCUGGGUUUAGAACGUCGUGAGACAGUUCGGUCCCUAUCUGCCGUGGGCGCUGGAGAACUGAGGGGGGCUGCUCCUAGUACGAGAGGACCGGAGUGGACGCAUCACUGGUGUUCGGGUUGUCAUGCCAAUGGCACUGCCCGGUAGCUAAAUGCGGAAGAGAUAAGUGCUGAAAGCAUCUAAGCACGAAACUUGCCCCGAGAUGAGUUCUCCCUGACUCCUUGAGAGUCCUGAAGGAACGUUGAAGACGACGACGUUGAUAGGCCGGGUGUGUAAGCGCAGCGAUGCGUUGAGCUAACCGGUACUAAUGAACCGUGAGG
rnacentral:rRNA from 1 species